UAUAAUUGCGAUGGGGGGACGGAGCAGGCUAAGCAAGCAUGGCGUUGGUAGUCCAUGUGAAAGUGAGUAGGGCGUUUGUUUAGGUAAAUCCGGACGAACACUAAACCUGAGACACGAGACGAGUCACCAAGGUGAUGAAGUUGUUGAUGCCAUACUUCCAGGAAAAGCCUCUAAGCUUCAGAUUAUAUGGAAUCGUACCCCAAACCGACACAGGUGGUCAGGUAGAGAAUACUAAGGCGCUUGAGAGAACUCGGGUG
rnacentral:rRNA from 1 species